AUUGAACGCUGGCGGCAGGCCUAACACAUGUAAGUCGAGCGAGCGGCGGACGGGUGAGUAAUGUCUGGGCAUCUGCCUGAUGGCGGGGGAUAACUACUGGAAACGGUAGAUAAUACCGCAUCCCAUCAGCUGUGCCCAGAUGGGAUUAGCUAGUAGGUGGGGUAACGGCUCACCUAGGCGACGAUCCCCAGCUGGUCUGAGCGGAUGACCAGCCAGACUGGAACUGAGACACGGUCCAGAUUCCUACGUGAGGCAGCAGUGGGGAAUAGUGCACAAUGGGCGCAAGCCUGAUGCAGCCAUGCCGCGUGUGGGAAGAAGGCCUUCGGUUUGUAAAGCACGUUCAGCGGGGAGGCGUUACCCGCAGAAGAAGCACCGGCUAACUCCGUGCCAGCAGCCGCGGUAAUUC
rnacentral:rRNA from 1 species